AUUGAACGCUGGCGGCAGGCCUAACACAUGCAAGUCGGACGGUAGCACAGAGGAGCUUGCUCCUCGGGUGACGAGUGGCGGACGGGUGAGUAAUGUCUGGGGAUCUGCCCGAUAGAGGGGGAUAACCACUGGAAACGGUGGCUAAUACCGCAUAACGUCGCAAGACCAAAGAGGGGGACCUUCGGGCCUCUCACUAUCGGAUGAACCCAGGUGGGAUUAGCUAGUAGGCGGGGUAACGGCCCACCUAGGCGACGAUCCCUAGCUGGGCUGAGGGGAUGACCAGCCACACGGGAACUGAGACACGGUCCAGACUCCUACGGGAGGCAGCAGUAGGGAAUAUUGCACAAUGGGCGCAAGCCUGAUGCAGCCAUGCCGCGUGUAUGAAGAAGGCCUUCGGGUUGUAAAGUACUUUCAGCGGGGAGGAAGGCGAUGUGGUUAAUAACCGCGUCGAUUGACGUUACCCGCAGAAGAAGCACCGGCUAACUCCGUGCCAGCCGCCGCCGUAA
rnacentral:rRNA from 1 species